UUCAGACCGCUAGGUAAUGAGGUUGUAAUGGACGAUGCCGAUCAACCUGCAAUCAGGUGGGAUUAAUGGAUGAGCUCAGGAAUGGGACAAAAGAGGAGGCCGGCAGGAGUUAAGAGACGAUGGGAUCAGAGAGACCGAGCGCUCCGCAGACCCCGCUGGUUGGGCGCCUGCCUGCGCCACGUGUUAUUUGUAGAGUUUUGCUUAAGGAGGACUCCGGAGGCAGACGAAAAAGACAACGCUGGAUGAAUUGAACCGUCCACUCCUUGCAUUUUGGAGCGCAAUGAUGAAACGUGGAGUAUCGGUAACGAAAAGUCCCCCGGUACUCCUUCGCCUUAAACGAAUGGAUUCAAAAGAACGCUGGGCUGAUUUUAACGAUGCCUGCCGGACACCGUGAAUCGACACUUUGGGCUGUGCACAUUUAUUGCUGGUGAGCCUCCUUUGCCUGAAGUGCGAUUUGGAGUUUUACGGACUUGGUUUUUAUAUAAUUGAACUGUGAUGUUGAUAAACCUGACUAUUAAUUGUAAAUGCCAAUUAAGGCAGUUUUUUGGAUUUUUCUUGGGAUUCCUUUUUCUCGUGCCUUAAAGGACUUACUGUGAAAUUCCUUAUUUCUCUCCGUAUGUGGAGAAAUGCCGUCCUCCACCGGCCCAGAAUGCACUGGUCUCAAGAUUCGCCAUCUUGGUGCGGUCGAAUUCUUCUUAGCGCCUGUCGGGAGGCGCCAACGCACAAGGCGAUGAGGAGGCCGCCGCAAAUACGGAAAGGAGCACCGCGGGGAGCGCGCGUCUCUUUUACUAGAAAAGUCUCGAAGGGGGCGCAGGUCUCCACGACUGGGGGCGUGUGGCUCCCACCCCCUCCAAAAAUGCCAACGGCCAGUUAACAGUUUAUGGACAGACGGUAUAUUGUCAUCUGUAAACAAAUCCUGUAACUUUUUUUUUAUUCGGUGCUAAACAAGUAGAAAUGCUUUAUUUUUUUAUAAACUGGUGGCGGUCUGUUGAACUCGAGAUUUCUGCCAAGUCCUCGUUGCCUUGGCUAUGCCGCUUGCACUACUUUAUUUUUUUUACUAACUGUAUGUAUCAGUCUUUGUAUCUAAUAUCUCGUUCGAGGUUUACUAAAACUGUCCAGACGGUCUGUCUUGUUACCUUCUGUGUAACCCCAAGUGUUUGAAUUGUGUGAGGUCGUCGGUUUCGUGUAAUUCAUGUUGAAAGUGCACAGAUUAUGGAGACUGACUAACCAGGCAGACCCCCUUCAGAUUCUUGUGACUAUCUAGUGCAGAGAGUUGAUUCCUGCAAAUGAUUUUUAUUUUAUGUAAUUUAUGAAUGUUUUUUGGCUGUUCAUAAUGGUGACCACUCUUGAAGUGUUAUCUCAUGUUACAGUAAUCUGUCGGAGUUUUGUAAUAUGGGGAAGAUGCAAGCCUUUGUCCUGACUAGUGCUGGUGCCCCGCUGAUUGAAAUGGCUCUCCAUUGGUGCUACUGAUGAUGUUGUGCUGCUGGUGCCAGAAGGCUCAGUUCUCGAGCUGAUGUGCCUGGCUCAAGCCUGUCAGUGUCACUUAACCUUCUUUCCAAAGCUAUCUUGAGGGUUUAUUAACUUGUGCUAUUUCAGGGUUUUGUACAAUGUGAAGUGUGACUGUUGGUUUGUAUUGGUCAUGUUUCUCAACAGCUGUUCAGGCCUAGACCAUUCUCCUCAAACUCCUCUUCAUCUGU